UUUUACAACCCUCAAACACUCUAAAAAAACCUCUUUAAACUCAGCUGAGUUUUCAGCAACACAUCAGAAAGUUCCAGCCAUAAAAAGUGAGUUUUAACUCACUUCUACUUCAAUUUUCUUCUUGUUUCUUUAUUCUUAACACUUGGAUAACCUCUAGGAAGGUUUUCACAAGUUUUCUUGGGCAAACUAAGGUGAAACCUCACAAUUUUUUAGGUCCAAAGAGCACUUUAAAUUCAGCUCAUUUUUAUCUUUUUAAAUCUUCAUGUUUUGAUAGAAAACUUGAUGGAAACUGGUUCCCACCAAGCUCACAACUUAGUCUAUGGUUGUGGGUUUGUGUUUAGGGGAUUUCCAUCAAAGUUUUGGGCUCAAACACCCAUUUAAUUUCAGUUUAAACUUGAUAAUCGAAUGAUGAAAACAAGCACAAGUCAUCAUCUUCUAUAUGAUGAAAUUGUGACUUGUGAAGUGUGAACAAAUGGAGGCUUUAGCCUUCCAAACUAAGUUCUACUCCUUUAUUUGAACAUUUUUAUGACUUGAUUAGAUUAGAUUUACUUUAUCAUUAUUCAUGACCCUCCCACCAUCUUAAAGAUGGUGUGUAGUGGUAAAUCUUAUAAUGAGGUUUUCUAACCUCCAUGCUUGACAUACAUGAUUCUAUAUAACAAUACUUGAUUGGACAUAGUCUAGGAUAUAUUAUUACCUUAUGAAUACACCUAUUAUUAUAUAGAAACAUGGAUGAGUUUGUGGUGUUAAUCAAGCUAUGAUUAAUCACCAUAAACCUAAGCUAACAUAUCGAAGAUUCUAGAGUACUUGUUAUGAUUCCAAUGAGCAAAUUGGGACCCAUGAAACCACUUGAUAUGGUGUCAUAAAUAAACUCUUAGAACUUAGAUAUUACUUUCAUACAUACAUACUUUGUGUUUUUUUUAAUUCCGAAUUCUGACUCUAAUCAUACCUUGAACUCCAACCUGAAUACAUUCAACCUCCUAAACUCAUUCCCUCGACAACAAUUGGAUAAUCGGAAGAAGUAGCAAUAUUCUUGUCAUGUGGAAUUGUUGAUGAUGACGACGCUAUGAAACUGAAGUAGUGAUGAUGCCUAGAUACACAUUUAGACGUUUUAGGUUUAAAUACGUUGUAUAACUUUCGUACUUGUUUGUUGUAUUGUUUUCUUGUAUCGAACACGUUGUAUUUCAAGUUCCAUGUAUUGUAACAUUUUGUUAUGAAUGAAAUUAAUU
rnacentral:lncRNA from 1 species